rnacentral:rRNA from 1 species
UGCAUAUCAAUAAGCGGAGGAAAAGAAACCAACAGGGAUUGCCUUAGUAGCGGCGAGUGAAGCGGCAAAAGCUCAAAUUUGAAAUCUGGCGCCUUCGGUGUCCGAGUUGUAAUUUGAAGAUUGUAACCUUGGGGUUGGCUCUUGUCUAUGUUUCUUGGAACAGGACGUCACAGAGGGUGAGAAUCCCGUGCGAUGAGAUGCCCAAUUCUAUGUAAGGUGCUUUCGAAGAGUCGAGUUGUUUGGGAAUGCAGCUCUAAGUGGGUGGUAAAUUCCAUCUAAAGCUAAAUAUUGGCGAGAGACCGAUAGCGAACAAGUACAGUGAUGGAAAGAUGAAAAGAACUUUGAAAAGAGAGUGAAAAAGUACGUGAAAUUGUUGAAAGGGAAGGGUUUGAGAUCAGACUCGAUAUUUUGUGAGCCUUGCCUUCGUGGCGGGGUGACCCGCAGCUUAUCGGGCCAGCAUCGGUUUGGGCGGUAGGAUAAUGGCGUAGGAAUGUGACUUUACUUCGGUGAAGUGUUAUAGCCUGCGUUGAUGCUGCCUGCCU